GCAGAGGAAGAAGCUGAGCUGCAAGGCAGUUACUAUUGAGGCCUCAGCUGUUCCACAUGGAGCUGUGGAACUGGGAGGAACCUGUAGAAAUGUCCCAGUUGAGGAAAGAAGGAAUAAAAGUUGGUGACCUGGGUGCUCAGUGGAACUGAGCCAUCAACUGAGAAAGAAAGAUCUUUCUGCAUCCACACAGAAAGAAUCAAACAAGAUGAACUUUUCUGCAUGACCCUGGAGGUGGGGCUCCGCUGAGAGUGAAUAUGCCUGCUCUACGAAGAGCCCCAGAAUUGUCCUGCCAGACUGCUC